UUACCUCGAGUCAGGCGAAACUAUUUGCUGAGUUUAAGCAUAUCAAUAUGCGGAGGAGAAGAAACUUACAAGGAUUCCUCUAGUAAUGGAAAGUAAACCGGGAUCAAACCAGCUUGAAAAUCGAGUGGCUUCGCAAUCCAAAUUGUAGCCUAUAGAAACGUCCUUAGAAAUGAACUUGUCCCAAGUCCCCUGAAACGGGGCACCAGAAAGAGUGAGAACCUCGUCGUGUCUGGACCAUGUAGCACCAUGAGGCAUUGUUGGCGAGUCGUGUUGUUUGGGAAUGCAGUCCUAAUUAGAUGGUAAAUUCUGUACAAGGCUUAAUAUUGGUGGGAUAGCGACAACGAAUAGGGACCUCUAGGGAAAAAUGAAAAGGACAUUAAAAAAAUAGUCAAAUAGUGCUUGAAUUUUUGGGAGGGAAGUGGUUGUGGGCUGGUGAUCCUCCUAGGUCGGAUGUAGAACGGUGUGAGCCGGUCCGACACUCGACUCUAGACGUCGACUGAUACGAAUUAUGGCGGUGGGCCAAGACCAAGCCCAAGCCGUUUACGUGCUUGUGGAUAUGUCAUCGUCAAGAUUGUGGUGGGUAAUGCGUGCCUUCGGCCUACCUAUGGCAACUGCACGCUCUCGGUUUCUGCCUACAGGCUUGCAAUUUGGUUCGUCAUGAAACAGGGACCAAGAGUCUAACAUGUGUGCGAGUCAAUGGGUGAGUAACUCGUAAGGCACAAAACAGCUGAUUGGUAGGAUCCCCUUGUGGGCUGCACCUCCGACGACCAAGACCUUUGGAGAAUGGUUCGAGUGUGAGCAUACCUAUUGGGACCCUAAAUAUGGUAAACUAUGCCUACGCAAGGAGAAGCCAAAAGAAACUAUUGUGGAGGCCCGCAACGAUACUGACGUGCAAAUAGUUUGUCUGACUUGUGUAUAAAGGUGAAAGACCAAACGAACCAUCUAGUAAAUGAUUCCAUCCAAAGUUUCCCUCGGGAUAGCAGAAGCUCAAGCGUGAGUUCUAUCGGGUAAAGCCAAUGAUUAGAGGCAUCGGGGGCGCAACGACCUCGACCUAUUCUCAAAUUUUAAAUAGGUAGGAAGAUGCAACUGCUUUGUUAAGCCGUACAAUGUUAUCGAGAACUUCAAGUUGGCCAUUUUUGGUAAGAAGAAUCGGUGAUGCGGGAUGAAUCGAAAGUCGGGUUACGGUGCCCAACUACGCACUAACCUAAAACCUACAAAGGGUGUUGGUAUAUUAGGACAGCAGGACGGUGGUCAUGGAAAUCAAAAUUCGUUGAGGAGUAUGUAACAACUCACUUGCCAAAUCACAUAGCCAAAGAAAUGGAUGCCGCUUAAGCGGAUGACCCACACCCAGCUGUUGGGGCAGUUGUUAGACCCUGAUGAGUAGGAGCGCAUGACGGUAGAUGCAAAUGAAGAGGGGUAGUAGCAAAUAUUCAAUUGAGAACUUUGAAGGCCGAAGAGGGGAAAGGUUUGAUGUAAACGACACUUGCACAUGGGUUUUUCAAUUCUAAAAGACGGGGUAACCCCGUUAGAGAGCACAAACUUCGAAAGGAUCAAGUUAAAAUUCUUGAACUGGGACGCGACGGUUGAUGGCAACGUUAGGAAGUCUUGAGACAUCAGGGAGGUCCUCGAAAAGAGUUAUCUUUUAUGUUUAACAGCUCGCCCAUCCCAAAAAUUGCUCAAUAAAAGGUAGGGUCCAGCAACUAGAACACUUCGCGUGUUGUCGGUGCAGCUCCGACAACCCUUGAAAAUUUGGAGGACCAAGUGCCAAUCGCGCCCGGUCGUAUUCAUAACCGCAUCAGGUCUCCAAGGUGAACAACGUCUAUUAGAUGGAACAAUGUAGGCAAGGGAAGUCAAUAAAAUGGAUUUGUAACCUCGAGAAAAGGAUUUGCUAUGAGGACUGGGCCCGGAGGUCUUUGUCCUGAACCUGGAGGCUAUCAGUAGACUGUUUGAGCAACUUUCAAGGUAAGAACUGGUCACUGCAUGCCGACUGGGGGAUGACUUGGAAUGGUCCCUUGGAUGACCUUCUCCAGGUGUCGAACAAUAGACUCAGAACUAGUACGGACAAGGGGAAUUCAACUGUUUUAAUUAAAACAAAGCAUUGCGAUGGUCUUUAUGGAUGCUAGAGCAAUUUGAUUUCUGCCCAGGGUCCUGAAUUUCAAAGUAAAGAAAUUCAACCAAGGGCAAAUAAACGGUGGGAGUGAUUAUCUUAAUGUUGCCAAAUGUCUCGUAAUCUGAUUAGUGGCAUGCAUUUAUGUAUUAACCAGAUUCCCACUAUCCCUAUCUAGUCCGACUUUGUGAAAUGACUUGAGAGGUGUAAGAUAAGUGGUAGGCGCUUGCGUCAAAAGUGAAAUACAACUACUUUUAACGUUAUUUUACUUAUUCCAUGAGUCAAAAGUGAAGCUUUUCCCUUUGGAUCCAAGGGUCGUCUCGACGAUCCGAUCCAGGAAGAAGACAUUGUCUGGUGGGAAGUUUGGCUGGGGCAACACAUCUGUUAAAAAAUAAUGUAGGUGUCCAAGUUUGAGCUCAAUGAGACCAAAAAUCUCGUGUGAGAUAGAAGGGUAAAUGCUCGUUUGAUUCUGAUUUCCAAUACAAAUACGAACCGUGAAAAUGUGUCCUAUCGAUCCUUUAGACCUUCGAAAUUUGAUGCUAGAGGUGUCAGAAAAGUUACUACAAGGAUAAUUGACUUGUGGUAGCCAAGUGUUCAUAGUGAUGUUUCUUUUUGAUCCUUUGAUGUUGACUCUUCCUAUCAUGUAAAGCAUAAUUCAAUAGUGUUGGAUUUUUCACCUACUAGUAGGGAACAUGAGCUGGGUUUAUAUCGUCAAAAUACAGGUUAUUUUUACCCUACUGAUGAUAGUUUCGCGAUAUUAAUUCAACCUAGUAUAAGAGGAAUUGUUGAUUUACACAAUUGGUCAUCGUGCUUGGUUGAAAAGCUAGUGGCACGAAGCUACCUUGUGCAGGAUUAUGACUGUUGCACAAAAUGUUCCAUGGGAACGGUCCAUGGAACAGUGUAAGGAUUGAUGGAACGUUCCAUCGAAUGAUCCAUGGAACGGUUCAUGGACUGAUGGAAUGAUGCAUGGACUGAUAGAACGAUCUAUGCAACAUUCCAUGUAAUGGUACAAGGACUAAUGGA
rnacentral:rRNA from 1 species